rnacentral:rRNA from 1 species
GGGGAAUUUUCCGCAAUGGGCGCAAGCCUGACGGAGCAAUACCGCGUGAGGGAAGAAAGCCUUUGGGUUGUAAACCUCUUUUCUCAGGGAAGAAGUUCUGACGGUACCUGAGGAAUCAGCAUCGGCUAACUCCGUGCCAGCAGCCGCGGUAAUACGGAGGAUGCAAGCGUUAUCCGGAAUUAUUGGGCGUAAAGAGUCCGUAGGUGGUCAAAUAAGUCUGCUGUCAAAGACCGGGGCUCAACUCCGGAAGGGCAGUGGAAACUGUGUGACUAGAGGCCGGGAGGGGUAGAGGGAAUUCCCAGUGUAGCGGUGAAAUGCGUAGAGAUUGGGAAGAACACCGGUGGCGAAGGCGCUCUACUGGACCGGAACUGACACUGAGGGACGAAAGCUAGGGGAGCAAAAGGGAUUAGAUACCCCUGUAGUC